rnacentral:rRNA from 2 species
AAAUUGAAGAGUUUGAUCAUGGCUCAGAUUGAACGCUGGCGGCAGGCCUAACACAUGCAAGUCGAGCGGAAACGAGUUAUCUGAACCUUCGGGGGACGAUAACGGCGUCGAGCGGCGGACGGGUGAGUAAUGCCUAGGAAAUUGCCCUGAUGUGGGGGAUAACCAUUGGAAACGAUGGCUAAUACCGCAUGAUGCCUACGGGCCAAAGAGGGGGACCUUCGGGCCUCUCGCGUCAGGAUAUGCCUAGGUGGGAUUAGCUAGUUGGUGAGGUAAGGGCUCACCAAGGCGACGAUCCCUAGCUGGUCUGAGAGGAUGAUCAGCCACACUGGAACUGAGACACGGUCCAGACUCCUACGGGAGGCAGCAGUGGGGAAUAUUGCACAAUGGGCGCAAGCCUGAUGCAGCCAUGCCGCGUGUGUGAAGAAGGCCUUCGGGUUGUAAAGCACUUUCAGUCGUGAGGAAGGUGGUGUAGUUAAUAGCUGCAUUAUUUGACGUUAGCGACAGAAGAAGCACCGGCUAACUCCGUGCCAGCAGCCGCGGUAAUACGGAGGGUGCGAGCGUUAAUCGGAAUUACUGGGCGUAAAGCGCAUGCAGGUGGUUUGUUAAGUCAGAUGUGAAAGCCCGGGGCUCAACCUCGGAAUAGCAUUUGAAACUGGCAGACUAGAGUACUGUAGAGGGGGGUAGAAUUUCAGGUGUAGCGGUGAAAUGCGUAGAGAUCUGAAGGAAUACCGGUGGCGAAGGCGGCCCCCUGGACAGAUACUGACACUCAGAUGCGAAAGCGUGGGGAGCAAACAGGAUUAGAUACCCUGGUAGUCCACGCCGUAAACGAUGUCUACUUGGAGGUUGUGGCCUUGAGCCGUGGCUUUCGGAGCUAACGCGUUAAGUAGACCGCCUGGGGAGUACGGUCGCAAGAUUAAAACUCAAAUGAAUUGACGGGGGCCCGCACAAGCGGUGGAGCAUGUGGUUUAAUUCGAUGCAACGCGAAGAACCUUACCUACUCUUGACAUCCAGAGAACUUUCCAGAGAUGGAUUGGUGCCUUCGGGAACUCUGAGACAGGUGCUGCAUGGCUGUCGUCAGCUCGUGUUGUGAAAUGUUGGGUUAAGUCCCGCAACGAGCGCAACCCUUAUCCUUGUUUGCCAGCGAGUAAUGUCGGGAACUCCAGGGAGACUGCCGGUGAUAAACCGGAGGAAGGUGGGGACGACGUCAAGUCAUCAUGGCCCUUACGAGUAGGGCUACACACGUGCUACAAUGGCGCAUACAGAGGGCGGCCAACUUGCGAAAGUGAGCGAAUCCCAAAAAGUGCGUCGUAGUCCGGAUUGGAGUCUGCAACUCGACUCCAUGAAGUCGGAAUCGCUAGUAAUCGUGGAUCAGAAUGCCACGGUGAAUACGUUCCCGGGCCUUGUACACACCGCCCGUCACACCAUGGGAGUGGGCUGCAAAAGAAGUAGGUAGUUUAACCUUCGGGGGGACGCUUACCACUUUGUGGUUCAUGACUGGGGUGAAGUCGUAACAAGGUAGCGCUAGGGGAACCUGGCGCUGGAUCACCUCCUUA